rnacentral:rRNA from 1 species
UUUAUGGAGAGUUUGAUCCUGGCUCAGAGUGAACGCUGGCGGCGUGCCUAAUACAUGCAAGUCGAACGAUGAAGCUUCUAGCUUGCUAGAAGUGGAUUAGUGGCGCACGGGUGAGUAAGGUAUAGUUAAUCUGCCCUACACAAGAGGACAACAGUUGGAAACGACUGCUAAUACUCUAUACUCCUGCUUAACACAAGUUGAGUAGGGAAAGUUUUU